UCCGCCUGUUGGUGUUUCUGCCUCAGUUUGUCAUUAUAGGAGCUGUAUGGAUCUGGUUUUUCAUCAGCAUGAAUAAAUUGAACUCAUCUAAAAACAAAACUGAUGACAAAGAAAUAGAGAUGAUGCAGGUCUGUGAGUAGAUCAGCUGUCUGUCCAUCAGAACUGCUGGAGUGAUGUCACAACUCUCUUUAUGACAUCAUCACCUAGCAACAGUCUCUCAGCAGUGCCGUCAUGUGAUAUAAUGACUGUUCAGUGUAAAUAAUCAAAUGCUCAAAUACUGUACCAUACUUUUUGGUCUAUAAGCAGCACUUUUUUUCAUAACUUGGCUGGUUCAAUUAUUGAAACUGAAACUGAAACUUUUCAAAAACUGCAAAUCUAUAGCUCACUCUCAUAGGGCUAAUAUGACUUUGCUAAAAAGAACGGUAUUUUCUGUCGGGCAGCUGUUCGAAGAUCUCGCCUUUGGAGAAUACUUUGAAAAGGAUUUUAUACUCGAAAAAUAAAGAUCUCUCUAAAAUAUCAUAUCCCAGAAUUACAAUGCUAGCCCAUCCCAACAGUUAUGCACAAUAAUGAUGAAAAAUGCUGACCAAUAAUUCAUUAUAUUACACAUUUUCUUAGUGGACAAAAAUGAGUAAAACCAGCAAACUGUAAUUUAUUGUGUAUUGUCAGAUGACAGCUGUGCUUGAAUACAAACUAGACAAAUGCAGGCGAUGUGAAUACAUACAUUUUUGUCA